UCCUCUCAUCUCCUGUGGGCAGCCCCUCCCAGCAGCCAGGGCUUCCUGGGGGUGAUGCAGCCAGGCCCCUGUGGGUGGCACGGAGGGGCCUAGUGUUGCCCUCCCCAGCAGCUGGCAGGGGCCUACUUGCUCACUAGAGAGGUGGAUUCUCACCUGUCACCUGACUCGAGCCCCCUGCUUCCUGGCCUAAGUGAGGGCUCCAGGUUUCAGACACUGGCAGCCAAUGAAGACUGCUCACUGGGUGGUGCAGGCCUGGCACCAGGAGGCUUGCACCCGCCUUUCCUUCCUGACGUCCUCUGUCCUUGGGGCUGGCCCACAGCAGUGCCUGCCGUGCCUCUGGUGCAUCUCUAGCCAAUUUCCAUAUCAUGGGGAAAAUUUGUGUCUAUUUCCAGUCAUAGGCAUAGAUGCCCCAGGGUGAAGGGCCCUUUGUGGUGGAAAGGGGUCCCUGGAAACAACUCUGGUACAGAACCUGCCCUGCAGGCCAUAGGGGGUGUGGUGCCUGGAGCUGAGGGGCAUCCGAACGCGUUGUGGGUGGUUGUGAGGAGGCCUGUCUGCAUCUCCUUCUGGCCCCACUGGGGGCCGGGGCACCCAGAAAGGAGCUUCCCCUGCCUGCCUGAUUCUGUCCCCCCCGAGGCUUCAUUUCAAACACUGCAGCACCUCUGAGCAAGGCGGGCCGUGUGUAAAACCUUGCUUCCCCAGCCAGCACUCCAGGGCCCUGAGGUGGUCGUGUCCCUGCCCUCAAUUCUUGAAGCACCAGCUCCCUGCCCCACCCUCCAGUGCCUGGGGCAGCCAGGGGGCUUCUGCUCUCAUCUCUGACCAGCAGAAUCUACCCAGUGACCAGUGGUGGCCCCUCAGCCGACCCUCCCAGCAGCUCAGCCUGUGGCUCUUGAGGCCGUGGUUCCCACGUGGACUGGGAGGCAGUCUCAUAGCCACCCAGAGUGCUGUUCAGCUGCCCCUCCCUGCCACCAGCAGGGGCCCAGGCUGCCAUCACUGGAGGCUGCAGGGACCAAGAGGCCAUCACCGUGUCUAUAGAGAGCAGACAGGAGCAGAACAGCGCCGGGGGCUCCUGAGCCUCUGCGUGUGCCCUCCCAGCCCACACCGGUGCUCUCGGCCACUGAGCACCCAGACUCAGGCUUGGGUUCCCCAGACUGACUGGAAGGCAGCUCCCGCGUACCAGGAUAACCCCCGCAAACCACAUAGCAGACCCCGCCAUCCUCGCAGAGGGGAAAAGGCUGCAGCAAGGCUUUGCCUCUGCAGACCCCAUCUUAGUGGCACAGUGCUUGGGCCUGUGUUCCCCGGGUGGUGGAGCCCUGUACUGGUCUGUGGCCCUGGGGGCCCCACUCUGCUGUCUGCCCCAGCCCAUGCCGUCUGCUGGGCAAGGCAGGCUUCCCCGUGCCCUGCCUCCCUCUGUCAGGGAACCUGGGACCCCUCUCCCCACUGCCUGCAUAGAGGACCCUGACCCUGGGCCAGCAGUGUGGCCCCAGGUCCAUGUUGGGCACUAGGGCAGGUUCCGUGCCAGAGUCAGGGGCCACACGAAGGCCUGGUGCCGGUGAGGGAGGUGUGCGCUAGAGGGGAAAGGGGCCCCCGCCCACCUGUCCACCGUGUGGGCCAUGCUGUGUCCUUAUGUCAUUGUAAUAUAAAUACAGAUUUUUAUAUCUCACCCUGCUGGCUCCGGCUCUUUCUGUGAUUGUCACUGUCACCAUGCUUUGCGCCCUGCCCUCGGCCUCCAAGCAGAGAGCCUGGCCCAGGGGCACCACACUGUGUGGCCUUUGGGCUGUGGCCCUCGUUGCCCUACCACAGCCUCUUUUCUGGGAGGCCUGACGGAGCACGUCGCCCCCUGCUGCCAACCACACCGGGCCCACCAUCACAGCUGCCUCCCUGGAUGCUUUGGCACCUGGAGCUGGGUGAAGGCGGGUUUGAGGCGG
ensembl:lncRNA